CCUACGGGUGGCAGCAGUGGGGGAUAUUGCACAAUGGGGGAAACCCUGAUGCAGCGACGCCGCGUGUGGGAAGACGGUCCUCUGGAUUGUAAACCACUGUCUCCAGGGACGAAGAUGACGGUACCUGGGGAGGAAGCUCCGGCUAACUACGUGCAAGCAGCGGCGGUAUUACGUAGGGAGCAACCGUUGUCCGGAAUUACUGGGUGAAAAGGGAGCGUGGGGGGGAUGGAAAGUAGGGGGUUAAAUCUACCGGCUCAACUGGUAGUCGCACUCAAAACUGCUAUUCUUGAGUGAAGUAGAGGCAGGCGGAAUUCCUGGUGUAGCGGUGAAAUGCGUAGAUAUUAGGAGGAAUACCAGUGGCGAAGGCGGCCUGCUGGGCUUUUACUGACGCUGAGGCUCGAAAGUGUGGGGAGCAAACAGGAUUAGAUACCCCAGUAGUC
rnacentral:rRNA from 1 species